ACUCCUACGGGAGGCAGCAGUGGGGAAUAUUGGACAAUGGGCGCAAGCCUGAUCCAGCCAUGCCGCGUGAGUGAUGAAGGCCCUAGGGUUGUAAAGCUCUUUCACCGGUGAAGAUAAUGACGGUAACCGGAGAAGAAGCCCCGGCUAACUUCGUGCCAGCAGCCGCGGUAAUACGAAGGGGGCUAGCGUUGUUCGGAUUUACUGGGCGUAAAGCGCACGUAGGCGGACUAUUAAGUCAGGGGUGAAAUCCCGGGGCUCAACCCCGGAACUGCCUUUGAUACUGGUAGUCUUGAGUUCGAGAGAGGUGAGUGGAAUUCCGAGUGUAGAGGUGAAAUUCGUAGAUAUUCGGAGGAACACCAGUGGCGAAGGCGGCUCACUGGCUCGAUACUGACGCUGAGGUGCGAAAGCGUGGGGAGCAAACAGGAUUAGAAACCCUUGUAGUCCCAUGA
rnacentral:rRNA from 1 species